rnacentral:rRNA from 1 species
UACGGAGGGGGCUAGCGUUGUUCGGAAUUACUGGGCGUAAAGCGCACGUAGGCGGCUUUGCAAGUCAGAGGUGAAAGCCCGGGGCUCAACCCCGGAAUUGCCUUUGAGACUGCAUCGCUAGAAUUGUGGAGAGGUAAGUGGAAUUCCUGGUGUAGCGGUGAAAUGCGUAGAUAUCAGGAGGAACACCGGUGGUGUAAACGGCUUUCUGGACCAUAACUGACACUGAGGCACGAAAGCGUGGGUAGCAAACAGG